rnacentral:lncRNA from 1 species
GCCCCGCUCUGACGUGUUUACCCUCGGGAACCAUUAGAGGGAGGUUCCCACAGCGGCCGAAGACUUUCACCUUUGAGGGAGUUGUGCUCCCUCCCCUUCCACCUUUCUUCAGAGCAAUGUCCAUUUCCCUGGAAACCACGGACGUCAUUUUAGCACUGUGAUUUUAACACAGGAUAGGUCAUAAAGGAGAAAGCAGAGCCCUCUGAUUAUCCUGAAGAAGAGUGAGCACCGAGGAGCCCUACAUGCUCACAGGGGAGAAAGGACGCAAAUGCAAAUAGAGACAGCUGCUGUGUGCGAUGGCACAGGCGACCUGGCUUUCUCCAGGCCAACACUGCAAUUCGGAUGGUCUGAUUUGCCAGCCUCAACGUUUUGGUCAACAUCGUUUCCCUCAUUACCUGAAACGGUGGAACAUCAUAAAGUCACGUGAGAUGUGCCUUUGAAAAUUAGAUGUGGGUUUCUUUCAUUUUAAUAUUUCUGCACUUCAUUGAAUGAAAUUGUAAGUAGGGCAAUUUCAAAAAGAAAAGAACACAGAAUUGUGAGCUUUUCAAACACCCACUAGGCAAAGUCCAAAUUUAGAGAAAUAGAUGAAUUCUUAUGAAAUUAACCUUUCCCACACACACACUCAAUUCUCCCAUUUACCACUCACAACUUUUCUUAGUUAAGUUUGUCUCCUACUAGAAUAUAAGCUUCUAGAAGGUAGGACUGUGUCUUAUGGUUUCAUUCUUUCCCCUACAGAUCCAUAAAUGUUUGUUUGAACAGAGUUAAACUGACAUUACUAAAAGUGUUUUUCAUUUCAGUUUGUUUAUUUUUGCUAGAGGAUGCACUGAAUUGCUAUUUUAGGAAGAGCUCAUUGCUUAGGAAGUCACAAUUGUAUGAAGUGAAGGAAUUUCUAAAAUCGUCCAGACCCAGUAAGAAGUGGUAACUAAUGCAAUUUGGACGGUUGGGUCCUUCUUUUCAUACGAGUUUCAGUUUUCAAUGAUUUUAGUAUAAAUAUAUACUGACAAAAUUUUUACCUGCUUUUGAAAUUAAUUUAUCCAAUUGGUAUUUCCAGUCAUAAGUAUUUUAU